rnacentral:lncRNA from 1 species
AUCAUGCAGGGCUCAGACUAUCUCUGAGAAGGUGCUCAUUUCCACUGCCACACAACACUGGUUUGUACAGGAAAUUACCUGCCAUGUAUAAACCCCUAUUUUUCUGCAUUCUCCUCCAGUCACAAGGGCUAGAAACCUGCAAACUACAUUUCUCAGACUUCUCUGCUAGAGGGUUUCAGUUUAGAUUAUGCCUACGGCAUGAGAGCAGGAGGCAGGUAGAGGGACUCUCAUUCUGGCUGCAGCUCAGGGGCAAGUGACUUCACACAGGGAUCAAACAGUUGUUUUUCAGAAAGCCGGACCGCCAGAUGGAAAAUGCUGAGCACGGUCACAUAGACCUCAGACAGGAUCUCACUCUAUCGCCCAGACUGGAGUGCAGUGGCACAAUCUCGGCUCAUGGCAACCUCCACUUCCUCAGCUCAAGUGAUUCUCCUGCCUCAGCCUCCCGAGUAGCUGGGAUUGUAGGUGCACACCACCAUGCCCAUCUGAUUUUUGUAUUUUUAGUAAAGACAGGGUUUCACCAUGUUGGCCAGGCUGGUCUCAAACUCCUGACUUCAAAUAAUCCACCCACCUUGGCUGCCCAAAGUUCUGGAAUUAUAGGCAUGAGCCACUGUGCCUGGCCUAAAAUUUCAAUGCUAAAAUUUCAAUAUGGUGGCCUUCCUUUACAAAUUGAAUGACAUCAGGAAUAUCACUUCUAGAAGCCUAUGUAACAGAAACAACAAGCAUGACUACAUGAAGAAUAUAUGUCUAAUGAUGCUCAUUGCAUCAUAAUUUGUAGCUUAAGAAUUGGAAACAAACCAAAUAUCUACCUAUGAAAGAAUGGUUAAAUUGCCUAUGAAUGGAAUAUUAUGUAACUAUGACAAAGAAUUAGGUAGGUCUAUAUGAACUAACAUGGAAAGAUAUCUGUGUCAUCUUUAAAAGAAAAUUCGCAGACAGAGCAAAAUGGCAUUUCGUAUAAAAUGUACAGAUAAAUUGUGCAAGAAAGAUUUAACACAAGAGGCCUGACUGCUAUCCUCUGAAAGGUUCUUGGCUGGCAUCUGGGAACUUGGAAGUUAGGAGAGUUCUUGCCAUUACCAACUGGUAAGAGCGGCUCACUGCACCCAAACUGUUUAUAGGAACCAUGUGGUUUGUGCUGAACAUCUGCUUUCCUGUGGCACAGUCUGAAAUUUUGAUAUAUACCUGUUAGAGGCGGCCUGUGUGACCAGCCCCCAGUAAAAUGCUGAACAUUGAGUUUCUAAGGAGCUUCCCUAGUAGACAUUUCACACAUGUCACAACUCCUUGCCUGGGGAAUUAAACAUGUUCCAUGCGAAUCCACUGGGCAAGGACCCUUGGAAGCUUGUGCCUGGUUUCUCCCAGCCUUUGCCCCACGCACUUUUUCCCUUUGUUGAUCUCACUCUAUAUCCUUUCACUGUAAUAAAUCUUACCAGGAGUAAAACUAUAUGCUGAGUCUUUGAGUCCUUCUAGCAAAUCAGAGAACCUGGCAGUGAUCUUGGGGACCCCCAACACAUGAACACAUGGCUUUAUUUAUAC